ensembl:snRNA U6 U6 spliceosomal RNA
GGGCUCGCUUCAGCAGAACAUACACUAAAAUUGGAAUGAUACAAAAAAGAUUAGCAUGGCCCCUGUGCAAUGAUGACAAGCAAAUUCAUGAAAAAUUCUGUAUUUAA